rnacentral:rRNA from 1 species
AGCAGCCGCGGUAAUUCCAGCUCCAAUAGCGUAUAUUAAAGUUGUUGCAGUUAAAAAGCUCGUAGUUGAAUUUCGGGGUUAGCAGGUCGGUCGUGCCAUCGGUAUGAACUGGUCUCGCUGAUCCCUCCCUCUUGACGAACUGUGAUGCCAUUAAUUUGGUGUCGCAGGGAAUCAGGACUGUUACUUUGAAAAAAUUAGAGUGUUUAAAGCAGGCUCACGCUUGAAUACAUUAGCAUGGAAUAAUGGAAUAGGACGUUUGAUCCUAUUUUGUUGGUUUCUAGGAUUGACGUAAUGAUUAAUAGGGAUAGUUGGGGGCAUUAGUAUUCAAUUGUCAGAGGUGAAAUUCUUGGAUUUAUUGAAGACUAACUACUGCGAAAGCAUUUGCCAAGGAUGUUUUCAUUAAUCAAGAACGAAAGUCAGGGGAUCGAAGACGAUCAGAUACCGUCGUAGUCUUAACCAUAAACUAUGCCGACUAGGGAUCGGAUGAUGUUAAUUUUUUAAUGACUCAUUCGGCGCCUUACG